GCCACAGCCCUGAGAGGAUGCGGUAAGAGCUCCAAGGAAGCUGUUUGGGGCAGCCAGAGGGACCGGGGAAGAGAGUGUCCUCUGUCUGCAAAAUAUUAGUGCUCAGACUAUCAGGGCGCAGUCAUGCUCUGCUGCCAAUGUACUGCAUGAUCUUCAACAAGUCAUUUCAUUUUGAAAAAAGUGUAUAAAAUUGCCACCAGGAUGUGAGCUUCUCCUCAAAAUCAGAUCCAUAUAGAGGUGAUGUGCCCAGGACCACUGAUGUCCCAACCCAUACCCCUUG